UACAGAGGUCUCAAGCGUUGUUCGGAUUCAUUGGGCGUAAAGGGCUCGUAGGUGGCCAACUAAGUCAGACGUGAAAUCCCUCAGCUUAACUGGGGAACUGCGUCUGAUACUGGAUGGCUUGAGUUUGGGAGAGGGACGCGGAAUUCCAGGUGUAGCGGUGAAAUGCGUAGAUAUCUGGAGGAACACCGGUGGCGAAGGCGGCGUCCUGGACCAACACUGACACUGAUGAGCGAAAGCCAGGGGAGCAAACGGG
rnacentral:rRNA from 1 species